GACGUAGGGCGCGAGCGUUGUCCGGAUUUAUUGGGCGUAAAGAGCGUGUAGGCGGCUCGGUAAGUCCGCUGUGAAAGUCCAGGGCUCAACCCUGGAAUGCCGGUGGAAACUGUCGAGCUAGAGUCCGGAAGAGGCGAGUGGAAUUCCUGGUGUAGCGGUGAAAUGCGCAGAUAUCAGGAGGAACACCAAUGGCGAAGGCAGCUCGCUGGGACGGUACUGACGCUGAGACGCGAAAGCGUGGGGAGCAAACAGG
rnacentral:rRNA from 1 species